CACACACACACACACAGCAUCACAUCAAAGUCAACUUAUAACCAGACGCUUUGUCUAUGUAUAUACCUAAUUGUCCUGAUAAGAGAAACAGUUCUCAAGAAUUAUAAGUAUCAUCUUCCCCAUGUAGGUAUGUAAAUAGUUUAACAUUUAAAUAACAUAUUGUGUUUUCCUUUUUAUCUUUUUAUGCUUCACUUCAGUGUUUUACUUGAAAAUCAAAUUUUCUAUUUAAUUCUGGUAUUUUUUUUCCCAUUAGAGAUGAUUGAAAAUCCCUUACUUCAAUGAAGAUCCAUCUCCUCCUCUGAAAGAUUAUGCUCAAUCUUGCUAGGUACUUGGUUGUAAUUCAAGUUGCUUUGCCCUCCAGAAUAUGGUAUUCUAAAUCUUCCAAAUCCCUUAUUUUAAAAGUUGCCAAAUCAUGAUAAUCCUGACUGUGGCUCCUCAACACUUGAAUUAUUUCUUUUUGACAACUUGUAGUAUUUUUUCCUUGAUCUUAUACUUCUAAAACUAGACCUUAAUAUUUCUUAGUUUUCAUUGAGACAUCUCUUUCAGAAGCUGAUCAAUGGUUUCUUUAAAUGGCUAUUUUGCCUUCUGGAUCUAGUAUAUAAGAGCAGAUUUCUUUGAUUUCUUUUUUUGUUGUUUUUGAAUUUUAUUUUUCCAAAUACAUGCAAAAAUAAUUUUAAAUAUUCAUCUUUGCAAAAUCUCAUAUUUCAAAUUUUCUUCCUCUCCUCCCUCCUCCCUCCCCAAAGUAGCAAGCAAUCUGAUACAGGUUAAAUGUGCAAUUUUUCUAAACAUACUUCCAUAUUUGUCAUGCUGAGAAAGAAAAAUCAGAUCAAAUGAGGGGAAAAAAACACAAGAAAGGAAAAAAAGGAAACAUACAAUAAUAAAAAGGUGAAAAUACUAUGCUGUGAUUCACAUUUACUACUCUCUUUGGAUGCAGAUGGCUCUGUCCAUCACAAGUCUUAUUAGAAUUGGCCUGAAUUGUUGAAAGAAGCCAAGGCCAUCACACUUGAUCAUUACAGAAUCUUGUUGCUAUGUGCAAUGCUCUCUUAGGUCCACUUACUUUGCUUAGCCAGUACCAAAUGGUUUUGAUGACCACUGCUUUAUAAUGUAAUUUAAGAUCUGGUACAACCAGGUCACCUCUCUUUGUAUUUUUUUUCCCCAUUAAUUACUUUGAAAUUCUUGAUCUUUUGUUCUUCCAGAUGAAUUUUGUUAUUUUUUUUCUAGCUCUAUGAAGUAAUUUCUUGGCAAUUUGAUUGCAUAGUACUGAAUAAAUAGAUUAAUUUAGGUAGAAUUUUUAUUAUAUUAGCUUGGCCUUCCCAUAAGCAUUGGGACAUUAAAUAUAUUGUUGGUGGAGUUGUGAAUUGAUACAACCAUUCUGAAAAGCAAUUUGGAACUAUGCCAAAGAGCUAUCAAAUUGUGCAUAUUUUCUGACCAGCAAUGUCUCUCCUGGGUCUUUGUCUCAAAGAGAUCAUAAAAGAGUGAUAAGAACCCAUAUGUGCAAAAAUAUGUGCAGCAUCCCAUUUUAUUCUGGCAAGGAACUGGAAUACUUAGUUAUGGUAGUAAAAGAAGAAAUAAAAUUUAAAAACACAAAAAAGCAUAAAGUAGGGGGAAAAAAUGCUUUGAUCUGCAUUCUGAGCCCAUCAGUUCUUUAUCUGAUUAAGGAUAGUAUUUUCCUUCCUGAGUCUUUGCACUUGUUUUGGAUCAUUAUGUUGCUGAGAAAAGCUGACUCAAUCAUAGUUGAUCAUCUCACAAUGUUGCUGAUACUGUGUACAAUAUUUUCCUGGUACUGUUCAUUUCAUUUUGCAUCAAUUUGUACAAAUAUUUCUAGGUUUUUCUGAAAUCUGCCUGUUCAUCAUUUCAUAUUGCACAAUGGUAUUCCAUUACAUUUAUAUACCACAGCUUGUUUAGCCAUUCCCCAAUUAAGGGGUAUCUCUUAAAUUCCAAUAUUUUGCUAGUAUGAAAAGGGCUGCUAUAAUAUUUUUGCAUACAUAGGUCCUUUCGAUCAGUGCCUUUAAGGAAAAGAAAAUUUUUUUCACAUUAGUCAUGUUGUGAAAGAAGAAUCAGAACAAAAGGGAAAAAUCAUGAAAAAAAAAAAAGUGAAAAUACUUCAUUUGGACUCCAUAGCUCUUUCUCUGGAUGUGGAUAGUAUUUUCCAUCACAGGUCUUUUUGAAUUGUCCUAGAUCGUUGUAUUGCUGAAAAGACCAUAUGCACAAUGUUGCUGUGCCUGUGAAAAAUGUUUUCCUGGUUCUGAUCACUUCAUUCAGCAACAAUUCAUGCAAGUCUUUCCAGGAUUUUUCUGAACUUUGCUGGCUCAUCAUUUCUUAUAGAACAUGGUAUUACAUUACAUUCAUAUAUUAUUAUACAAAGCUUAGGAAAAUUGGACUUUCUCUUAUUUUAGUAAAUGAUAUGUAUCUAAAUUUAAGAACUAUCUGUCAUUAUAUGUUGCAGAAAGCAACAUAGUCAUUUCUCAAGUGAUGGGCAUUCACUCAAUUUCCAGUUCCUUGCCACCACAAAAAGAGUUGUAUAGAUGGUUUUUUGGUGGCUCCUACAUAUAAGCACACAUAUAUAUGCAUAUACAUAUGCACACACCUAUAAACACACAUAUACAUAGAAAUUCUGGAGAGGGAGUAUAAAUCUAUUUCAAUGAUCACUCUGUUUCUUAGCUGAUACCUUCUUGGUUUUGAUGAUUGCUGCUUUAGAUAUAGUUUUAGAAUUGGUACAGCUAGGCCACCUUCUUUUGUAAUUUUCCCCCAUUACUUCCCUUGAUAUUUUUCAGUGACUCUUAAAGAUCUUUUGAACCAUUUGUGCUUCUUGCUCAGUGGCCAACAAAGGGAAUUAAUUUAUCAUCUCUAAGCGUAAAUCCUUUCAGUGUUGAAUUAGAUGUGCAGUAUGAGUCUCCCAAAG
ensembl:lncRNA